AACGAACGCUGGCGGCAUGCCUAACACAUGCAAGUCGAACGAGACCUUCGGGUCUAGUGGCGCACGGGUGCGUAACGCGUGGGAACCUGCCUUUAGGUUCGGAAUAACUCAGAGAAAUUUGAGCUAAUACCGGAUGAUGUCUUCGGACCAAAGAUUUAUCGCCUUUAGAUGGGCCCGCGUUGGAUUAGCUAGUUGGUGGGGUAAAGGCCUACCAAGGCGACGAUCCAUAGCUGGUCUGAGAGGAUGAUCAGCCACACUGGGACGGAGACACGGCCCAGACUCCUACGGGAGGCAGCAGUGGGAAUAUUGGACAAUGGGCGAAAGCCUGAUCCAGCAAUGCCGCGUGAGUGAUGAAGGCCUUAGGGUUGUAAAGCUCUUUUACCCGAGAUGAUAAUGACAGUAUCGGGAGAAUAAGCUCCGGCUAACUCCGUG
rnacentral:rRNA from 1 species